rnacentral:rRNA from 1 species
UACGGAGGGAGCUAGCGUUGUUCGGAAUUACUGGGCGUAAAGCGCACGUAGGCGGUUAUUCAAGUCAGAGGUGAAAGCCUGGGGCUCAACCCCGGAACUGCCUUUGAAACUAGAUGACUAGAAUCUUGGAGAGGUCAGUGGAAUUCCGAGUGUAGAGGUGAAAUUCGUAGAUAUUCGGAAGAACACCAGUGGCGAAGGCGACUGACCGGACAAGUAUUGACGCUGAGGUGCGAAAGCGUGGGGAGCAAACAGG